rnacentral:misc_RNA from 1 species
GAAAUGCGAUACGUCAUGCGAAUUGCAAAACCAGUGAGUCAUCAAAACUUUGAACGCAACUUGCACUUCCCUUUGGGGAGUAUGUCUGUUGGAGUGCUUGUUCAUCCCCACCAUCAACCCCAUUCCCUAACAAGAAUGACUUAGGGUUUUUGAAGACCGUCUCUUGUAUACCUAGUAUAUAAUAGAACGUAGAUGAAACAAAAAUCAAAUAUCCGAUCUGAAUCAGUUUAUCUUUCGGGAUAAAUACGAUUUAAGAACGCGACGUCAUUUAGGGUUAAACCUACAAUUAAUCGUGUUGUUAAAUCUUAAUGAUAGUAAGAUUAUGAUAUUUUUCGAUCGAGCCUCCAAUCAGUCAAGAAUACCCGCUGAAUUUAA